rnacentral:rRNA from 1 species
AGCAGCCGCGGUAAUUCCAGCUCCAAUAGCGUAUAUUAAAGUUGUUGCAGUUAAAAAGCUCGUAGUUGAAUUUCGGGAUCAAUUUGCUGGUCGAGACCUCUGGUACGUACUGGUAUUAUUGAUUUCUUUCAUUCUGAUAGAUCAUUGAUGUCAUUAAUUUGAUGACUUUGAGGAAUCGGAGCUUUUACUUUGAAAAAAUUAGAGUGUUUAAAGCAGGCUUAUUAGGCUUGAAUACAUUAGCAUGGAAUAAUGAAAUAGGACGAUUGAUCCUAUUUUUUGUUGGUUUUCUAGGAUUGACGUAAUGAUUAAUAGGGAUAGUUGGGGGCAUUAGUAUUUCAAUUGUCAGAGGGUG